UGACCUCGGAUCAGGUAGGAAUACCCGCUGAACUUAAGCAUAUCAAUAAGCGGAGGAAAAGAAACCAACAGGGAUUGCCCCAGUAACGGCGAGUGAAGCGGCAACAGCUCAAAUUUGAAAUCUGGCCCCAGGCCCGAGUUGUAAUUUGGAGAGGADGUGCUUUCGUCUUCAGCUGGUCGAACCAGAGGACCCAAUCGGUGGUCGCGUUGAGGACCGUUUUAGUGGUAUCAUUGCUCAUCCUAGCGUUAUAGGCACUUGUGAAUAGCUUUGCGGUGCUCGUUACUHUGUCGGGGGGGAGGGGGGUGGGGAUUUUAAUUGGCGGAGUGGAAAGG
rnacentral:ncRNA from 1 species